GGACUUGUCUUAUAAUCAGUUCAACUUACCCCUGGUAGUUUUGAAAAGAAUUGCAUGGCUCAAAGAACUGUACUUUAAUGGAAAUAAAAUCAAGGAGCUACCAGCUGGAGUCUUCAAAAACAACUCCGAGUUGACUCACCUGUCCUUGAAUAAUAACCAAAUUAAGGAGCUACCACCUGGAGUCUUCAAUUACAACUCCAAGUUGUAUCACCUG